rnacentral:rRNA from 1 species
AUUGAACGCUGGCGGCAGGCUUAACACAUGCAAGUCGAGCGGUAACAGAGAGAAGCUUGCUUCUCUGCUGACGAGCGGCGGACGGGUGAGUAAUGCCUAGGAAUCUGCCUAGUAGUGGGGGAUAACUUGCCGAAAGGUAAGCUAAUACCGCAUACGUCCUACGGGAGAAAGGAGGGGACCUUCGGGCCUUUCGCAAUUAGAUGAGCCAAGGUGGGAUUAGUUAGUUGGUGAGGUAAUGGCUCACCAAGACCGCGAUCCGUAACUGGUCUGAGAGGAUGAUCAGUCACACUGGAACUGAGACACGGUCCAGACUCCUACGGGAGGCAGCAGUGGGGAAUAUUGGACAAUGGGGGGAACCCUGAUCCAGCCAUGCCGCGUGUGUGAAGAAGGUCUUAGGAUUGUAAAGCACUUUAAGUUGGGAGGAAGAGCAGUUAACUAAUAUUUGACUGUUUUGACGUUACCGACAGAAUAAGCACCGGCUAACUUCGUGCCAGCCGCCGCCGUAA